rnacentral:rRNA from 1 species
UGGCGUAAACAGAGGGAAGCGAACCCGCGAGGGGGAGCGAAUCCCAAAAAUAACGUCCCAGUUCGGAUUGUAGUCUGCAACCCGACUACAUGAAGCCGGAAUCGCUAGUAAUCGCGGAUCAGAAUGCCGCGGUGAAUACGUUCCCGGGUCUUGUACACACCGCCCGUCACACCAUGGGAGUCGGAAAUGCCCGAAGUCGGUAGCCUAACCGUAAGGAGGGCGCCGCCGAAGGUGGGAUUGAUGACUGGGGUGAAGUCGUAACAAGGUACC